AGAGUUUGAUCAUGGCUCAGAAUCAACGCUGGCGGCGUGCCUCAGACAUGCAAGUCGAACGAUUAAGACUCUCUUCGGAGAGUGUAUAGAGUGGCGCACGGGUGAGUAACACGUAGGUAAUUUGCCUUCGGGUGGGGAAUAACUUGGGGAAACCCAAGCUAAUACCGCAUAAUGCAGCGGCACCAAAUGGUGACAGUUGUUAAAGCUUUAUGUGCCUGAAGAGAAGCCUGCGGUGGAUUAGGUAGUUGGUAAGGUAAUGGCUUACCAAGCCUGCGAUCCAUAUCCGGUCUUAGAGGACGGUCGGACACACUGGCACUGAAUAACGGGUCAGACUCCUACGGGAGGCAGCAGUCGGGAAUUUUGGGCAAUGGGCGAAAGCCUGACCCAGCAACGCCGCGUGAAGGAUGAAGUCCUUCGGGAUGUAAACUUCGGAAGAAUGGGAAGAAUAAAUGACGGUACCAUUUUUAAGCCCCGGCUAACUCCGUGCCAGCAGCCGCGGUAAUACGGAGGGGGCAAGCGUUGUUCGGAUUUACUGGGCGUAAAGGGCGCGUAGGCGGCGUGACAAGUCACUUGUGAAAUCUCCGGGCUUAACUCGGAACUGCCAAGUGAUACUGUCGUGCUAGAGUGCAGAAGGGGCAAUCGGAAUUCUUGGUGUAGCGGUGAAAUGCGUAGAUAUCAAGAGGAACACCAGAGGCGAAGGCGGAUUGCUGGGCUGACACUGACGCUGAGGCGCGAAAGCUAGGGUAGCAAACGGGAUUAGAUACCCCGGUAGUCC
rnacentral:rRNA from 1 species